GAUGUACUCCCUCCGUCCCAAAAUUCUUGUCUUAGAUUUGUCUAGAUACGGAUGUAUCAAGUCACGUAUUAGGUACAUCCGUAUCUAGACAAAUCUAAGACAAGAAUUUUGGGGCGGAGGGAGUAUGUU
rnacentral:pre_miRNA from 1 species